rnacentral:rRNA from 1 species
UUGAACGCUGGCGGCAUGCCUUACCCCUGCAAGUCGAACGGCAGCACGGGUGCUUGCACCUGGUGGCGAGUGGCGAACGGGUGAGUAAUACAUCGGAACAUGUCCUGUAGUGGGGGAUAGCCCGGCGAAAGCCGGAUUAAUACCGCAUACGAUCUACGGAUGAAAGCGGGGGACCUUCGGGCCUCGCGCUAUAGGGUUGGCCGAUGGCUGAUUAGCUAGUUGGUGGGGUAAAGGCCUACCAAGGCGACGAUCAGUAGCUGGUCUGAGAGGACGACCAGCCACACUGGGACUGAGACACGGCCCAGACUCCUACGGGAGGCAGCAGUGGGGAAUUUUGGACAAUGGGCGAAAGCCUGAUCCAGCAAUGCCGCGUGUGUGAAGAAGGCCUUCGGGUUGUAAAGCACUUUUGUCCGGAAAGAAAUCCUUGGCCCUAAUACGGUCGGGGGAUGACGGUACCGGAAGAAUAAGCACCGGCUAACUACGUG